rnacentral:misc_RNA from 1 species
AAGGAUCAUUAACAAAUCAUGUGCUUUGCGUGCCUGUCAAGGGCACGUGAAACAUAAACCCAUGGGUCUUUGGGCCCAAGGUGAGUCAACUGGUGGGGAUGGGGGGGUGAUGUAAUGUCAUGGUCCCGCCUGCUGGUUGGCUGGCUAAGGUGCAAGGAGAGGAGGAGGGUAAUCCUCCCUCCCUCUUGCCCUUCACAUCAACCGUUUGUUUUAUCGUUUGACUAAGUCAUUGGCAUAUCAUAAUCUUAUACAACUUUUAACAAUGGAUCUCUUGGCUCUU